rnacentral:tRNA from 1 species
GCCCUAGUAGCUUAGCAUUAAAGCGCCGGUCUUGUAAUCCGGAGAUCGGGGGUUAAAUUCCCCUCUAGUGCU